GGCCUCUCCACUGAUUCGACACAACGUCCUGCAGAGAUGUUGUGCGACCUGCCGUGUCAAUCGGUGGAGACGCC
rfam:Trichoderma atroviride strain P1 chromosome 1